UAUAACCACUGGAAGUGCCUUUAAAAAGGGCUGAGAUCGGAGUGAAACUUCGGGAUUCCUGAACCUGAUCUAGUUUGUACUAGCGUAGGAAAUGUGGCUUUGCAAUGCG
rnacentral:ncRNA from 2 species